rnacentral:misc_RNA from 1 species
GAUGAAGAACGUAGCAAAAUGCGAUAAGUAAUGUGAAUUGCAGAAUUCAGUGAAUCAUCGAAUCUUUGAACGCACAUUGCGCCCGCCAGUAUUCUGGCGGGCAUGCCUGUUCGAGCGUCAUUUCAACCCUCAAGCCCCCGGCUUGUGUUGGGGACCUGCGGCUGCCGCAGGCCCUGAAAACCAGUGGCGGGCUCGCUAGUCACUCCGAGCGUAGUAAUACAUCUCGCUCAGGGCGUGCUGCGGGUUCCGGCCGUUAAAAAGCCUUAUUUACCCAAGGUUGACCUCGGAUCAGGUAGGAAGACCCGCUGAACUUAAGCAUAUCAAUAAGCGGAGGA